AUUGAACGCUGGCGGAAUGCUUUACACAUGCAAGUCGAACGGUAGCACGGGAGCAAUCCUGGUGGCGAGUGGCGAACGGGUGAGUAAUAUAUCGGAACGUGCCCAGUCGUGGGGGAUAACGUAGCGAAAGCUACGCUAAUACCGCAUACGAUCUAUGGAUGAAAGCGGGGGAUCGCAAGACCUCGCGCGAUUGGAGCGGCCGAUAUCAGAUUAGGUAGUUGGUGAGGUAAAGGCUCACCAAGCCGACGAUUUGUAGCUGGUCUGAGAGGACGACCAGCCACACUGGGACUGAGACACGGCCCAGACUCCUACGGGAGGCAGCAGUGGGGAAUUUUGGACAAUGGACGCAAGUCUGAUCCAGCCAUUCCGCGUGCAGGAUGAAGGCCCUCGGGUUGUAAACUGCUUUUGUACGGACGAAAAGGUUUCUAUUAAUACUAGGAGCUCAUGACGGUACCGUAAGAAUAAGCACCGGCUAACUACGUGCCAGCAGCCG
rnacentral:rRNA from 1 species